AGGAGCUAACUUUCGAGAGUCUGGCAUUAAAUUGUCGAGUGUUUGAAAUGUGAACAUUGAUUCUUGAGGAAGGUCCGCGCACCCCGAGUUUCCGUUAUGGACUCUUAGGACAAAAUCAUCGAGGAAAUCUCGAGCGUUGUGAAGCGCAGCUCUGGUACAGAAACGACACAGCUCAUUUGGAGUUAUGACUCUUGCGAUGAACGGCGAAGAAUGAGAUUUGAUGAAACGAGCAUCUUGAUUGGUGCAAGGGUAACAGUUAGUUUAUAGUAAGUGAUUGUUAGUUUUUAGCAAACACAGAAAAAAUUAAUGAAGUACGCCCGCUUAGUUGGAUGUUAGCACAUUUGGUCUGAAUACAGCAAAUGACAGAACGUGGCCUAACCU
rnacentral:RNase_P_RNA from 1 species